AAUAGAUACCCCGGUAGUCCACGCCGUAAACGGUGGCGCUAGGUGUGGGGGACUUUCCACGUCCUCGUGUGCCGCAGCUAACGCAUUAAGCGCCCCGCCUGGGGAGUACGGCCGCAAGGCUAAAACUCAAAGGAAUUGACGGGGGCCCGCACAAGCGGCGGAGCAUGUGGCUUAAUUCGACGCAACGCGAAGAACCUUACCAAGGCUUGACAUGCAGGGAAAUCUCGUAGAGAUACGGGGUCCGCAAGGGCUCUGCACAGGUGGUGCAUGGUUGUCGUCAGCUCGUGUCGUGAGAUGUUGGGUUAAGUCCCGCAACGAGCGCAACCCUUGUCCUAUGUUGCCAGCGAGUAAUGUCGGGGACUCAUAGGAGACUGCCGGGGUCAACUCGGGAGGAAGGUGGGGAUGACGUCAAAUCAUCAUGCCCCUUAUGUCUUGGGCUGCACACAUGCUACAAUGGUCGGUACAAGGGCUGCGAGACCGCAAGGUGGAGCGAAUCCCAAAAAGCCGGCCUCAGUUCGGAUUGGGGUCUGCUAACG
rnacentral:rRNA from 1 species